GCCAGUGGUGGUUUAGUGGUUAGAGCAUCGGACUGGCACCCAGGAGACCUGGGUUCAAAUCUCCACUCGGCC